AAACCAAGGAUCGACAUCUGGCAGUUAGGAUAAAGACAAAUUGUAAUUCCUAGCUGAUAUUCAGAAGAAAGCCACCACCUCAUUGACCAUUUUCGCCUCGCCCAAAUCCCUCUCUUCGCUGAAUUAGGGUUUUCUGUUUGAUCCAUAAAUUUUGCAGAAUUCAAUCAAUCAUGUCAUACGAAAAGCUCGACGGUUUAGCUAGGUGGUUCGGUACGAGCGUUGCGUCGGCAUUUUUCGCAUCUUUAGAACGAUGCUCGUGUGUGAAUCUCAACACCUCCGAAUCCGACGACGAGGAUGAGGAAGAAGCUAAAGAUCGCCCUCUCAUGGUCUCCACACUACCUUCUCACCUCGAUUCUUUACCCCCUGCAACCAAUCCUACCUCCGUUGAUAAACUCCCCGUUUAAUUCUACAUUACUCGAAUUGGGAUCAUGCAGCAGCUUUGUCAUAGCAGUCAUUUGAUUCCAACAGAGUGGAUUUACUCUGGUAUAAGCUGUAACAUUGUUAGUAGACAUUCAUUUUUCUUUGAUAGGGUUGUAUAAAAUGUGUUAUCUGUUGACAGUCUUGUUACAAGAUCAAACAUUAGAAGCACUUGUUGUAUGCAUUUUGCUUUUCCUUCACCUCGGCUUAUUGAAAACUAUGGUGACAGAGAAUGGCAUGCAUAGCACUGGGCUACUUGAAUUUCAAAUAUCCACAGAUUGUUUUUACCGAUA